CGACCCGUUGAGCCUUACUCGUGCUGGGGCCCUAUAGCAGCCCGCAGGCCCCAAAAGGAAGUGGCGAGGCCGCGCUCGUACCGAAUGUAGUAGUAACGCGCCGCUCCGGCGCGGUGACGGACCCCGGCCGUAAAAGCCCAACCUGUACCA
rnacentral:misc_RNA from 1 species